rnacentral:rRNA from 1 species
UACGGGGGGGGCAAGCGUUGUUCGGAAUUACUGGGCGUAAAGGGCUCGUAGGCGGCCAACUAAGUCAGACGUGAAAUCCCCCGGCUUAACCUGGGAACUGCGUCUGAUACUGGGAGGCUUGAGUAUGGGAGAGGGAUGUAGAAUUCCAGGUGUAGCGGUGAAAUGCGUAGAUAUCUGGAGGAAUACCGGUGGCGAAGGCGGCAUCCUGGACCAUAACUGACGCUGAGGCGCGAAAGCUAGGGGGAGCAAACGGG